rfam:Helianthus annuus linkage group 9, whole genome shotgun sequence.
GCACUUACCUGGACGGGGUCUUUGGGCGAUCAAGAAGGCUCAUGGCCUAGGUUGGUGAUCUCCAUUGCACAUUACGGAGAGGUGCCCAUCUAAGGUCGGCCCAAGUUGGUCGAACCUACGUCAUAAUUUGUGUUAGUGGGGGCCUGUGUUCGCGCGGCCCCUAU